UGACCCCAACAGGACUCGAACCUGUGACCUAUCGAUUAUGAGUCGAAUGCUCUAACCAACUGAGCUAUGGGACC
rnacentral:tRNA from 2 species